rnacentral:rRNA from 1 species
GACGAACGCUGGCGGCGUGCUUAACACAUGCAAGUCGAACGGAAAGGCCCUGCUUUUGUGGGGUGCUCGAGUGGCGAACGGGUGAGUAACACGUGAGUAACCUGCCCUUGACUUUGGGAUAACUUCAGGAAACUGGGGCUAAUACCGGAUAGGAGCUCCUGCUGCAUGGUGGGGGUUGGAAAGUUUCGGCGGUUGGGGAUGGACUCGCGGCUUAUCAGCUUGUUGGUGGGGUAGUGGCUUACCAAGGCUUUGACGGGUAGCCGGCCUGAGAGGGUGACCGGCCACAUUGGGACUGAGAUACGGCCCAGACUCCUACGGGAGGCAGCAGUGGGGAAUAUUGCACAAUGGGCGGAAGCCUGAUGCAGCAACGCCGCGUGCGGGAUGACGGCCUUCGGGUUGUAAACCGCUUUCGCCUGUGACGAAGCGUGAGUGACGGUAAUGGGUAAAGAAGCACCGGCUAACUACGUGCCAGCAGCCGCGGUGAUACGUAGGGUGCGAGCGUUGUCCGGAUUUAUUGGGCGUAAAGGGCUCGUAGGUGGUUGAUCGCGUCGGAAGUGUAAUCUUGGGGCUUAACCCUGAGCGUGCUUUCGAUACGGGUUGACUUGAGGAAGGUAGGGGAGAAUGGAAUUCCUGGUGGAGCGGUGGAAUGCGCAGAUAUCAGGAGGAACACCAGUGGCGAAGGCGGUUCUCUGGGCCUUUCCUGACGCUGAGGAGCGAAAGCGUGGGGAGCGAACAGGCUUAGAUACCCUGGUAGUCCACGCUGUAAACGGUGGGUACUAGGUGUGGGGUCCAUUCCACGGGUUCCGUGCCGUAGUUAACGCUUUAAGUACCCCGCCUGGGGAGUACGGCCGCAAGGCUAAAACUCAAAGGAAUUGACGGGGCCCCGCACAAGCGGCGGAGCAUGCGGAUUAAUUCGAUGCAACGCGUAGAACCUUACCUGGGUUUGACAUGGAUCGGGAGCGCUCAGAGAUGGGUGUGCCUCUUUUGGGGUCGGUUCACAGGUGGUGCAUGGCUGUCGUCAGCUCGUGUCAUGAGAUGUUGGGUUAAGUCCCGCAACGAGCGCAACCCUUGUUCACUGUUGCCAGCACGUUAUGGUGGGGACUCAGUGGAGACCGCCGGGGUCAACUCGGAGGAAGGUGGGGAUGACGUCAAGUCAUCAUGCCCCUUAUGUCCAGGGCUUCACGCAUGCUACAAUGGCUGGUACAGAGAGUGGCGAGCCUGUGAGGGUGAGCGAAUCUCGGAAAGCCGGUCUCAGUUCGGAUUGGGGUCUGCAACUCGACCUCAUGAAGUCGGAGUCGCUAGUAAUCGCAGAUCAGCAACGCUGCGGUGAAUACGUUCCCGGGGCU